UGGGCUGUAGCUCAGUGGUAGAGCAUUUGCCUCACAUGUAUAAGGCCCUGGGUUCAAUCUUCAGCACCACAU
rnacentral:tRNA from 1 species